rnacentral:rRNA from 1 species
GAUGAACGCUGGCGGCGUGCCUAAUACAUGCAAGUCGAGCGAAUGGAUUAAGAGCUUGCUCUUAUGAAGUUAGCGGCGGACGGGUGAGUAACACGUGGGUAACCUGCCCAUAAGACUGGGAUAACUCCGGGAAACCGGGGCUAAUACCGGAUAACAUUUUGAACCGCAUGGUUCGAAAUUGAAAGGCGGCUUCGGCUGUCACUUAUGGAUGGACCCGCGUCGCAUUAGCUAGUUGGUGAGGUAACGGCUCACCAAGGCAACGAUGCGUAGCCGACCUGAGAGGGUGAGCGGCGACACGGGGACUGAGACACGGCCCAGGCUCCUACGGGAGGCAGCAGUAGGGAAUCUUCCGCAAUGGACGAAAGUCUGACGGAGCAACGCCGCGUGAGUGAUGAAGGCUUUCGGGUCGUAAAACUCUGUUGUUAGGGAAGAACAAGUGCUAGUUGAAUAAGCUGGCACCUUGACGGUACCUAACCAGAAAGCCACGGCUAACUACGUGCCAGCCGCCGCAGUAA